rnacentral:rRNA from 1 species
ACCCAAUAGAUACCCCGGUAGUACUCACCGUAAACGAUGGGUACUAGGUGUAGGGGGUCCCCCCGUCCUGUGCCGCAGUUAAACAACAUUAAAGUAACCCCGCCUGGGGAGUACGAUCGCAAGAUUAAAACUACAAAGGAAUUGACGGGGGCCCGGCACAAGCAGCGGAGCAUGUGGUUUAAUUCGAAGCAACGCGAAGAACCUUACCAAGGCUUGACAUCCAAAGAAUCCACAAGAGAUUGAGGAGUGCCCUUCGGGGAACGUUUGAGACAGGUGGUGCAUGGUUGUCGUCAGCUCGUGUCGUGAGAUGUUGGGUUAAGUCCCGCAACGAGCGCAACCCUUGUUGUUAGUUGCUACCAUUAAGUUGAGCACUCUAACGAGACUGCCGAGGUUAACUCGGAGGAAGGUGGGGAUGACGUCAAAUCAUCAUGCCCCUUAUGCCUUGGGCUACACACGUGCUACAAUGG